GGUUAAGCGACUAAGCGUACACGGUGGAUGCCCUGGCAGUCAGAGGCGAUGAAGGACGUGCUAAUCUGCGAUAAGCGUCGGUAAGGUGAUAUGAACCGUUAUAACCGGCGAUUUCCGAAUGGGGAAACCCAGUGUGUUUCGACACACUAUCAUUAACUGAAUCCAUAGGUUAAUGAGGCGAACCGGGGGAACUGAAACAUCUAAGUACCCCGAGGAAAAGAAAUCAACCGAGAUUCCCCCAGUAGCGGCGAGCGAACGGGGAGCAGCCCAGAGCCUGAAUCAGUGUGUGUGUUAGUGGAAGCGUCUGGAAAGGCGCGCGAUACAGGGUGACAGCCCCGUACACAAAAAUGCACAUGCUGUGAGCUCGAUGAGUAGGGCGGGACACGUGGUAUCCUGUCUGAAUAUGGGGGGACCAUCCUCCAAGGCUAAAUACUCCUGACUGACCGAUAGUGAACCAGUACCGUGAGGGAAAGGCGAAAAGAACCCCGGCGAGGGGAGUGAAAAAGAACCUGAAACCGUGUACGUACAAGCAGUGGGAGCACGCUUAGGCGUGUGACUGCGUACCUUUUGUAUAAUGGGUCAGCGACUUAUAUUCUGUAGCAAGGUUAACCGAAUAGGGGAGCCGAAGGGAAACCGAGUCUUAACUGGGCGUUAAGUUGCAGGGUAUAGACCCGAAACCCGGUGAUCUAGCCAUGGGCAGGUUGAAGGUUGGGUAACACUAACUGGAGGACCGAACCGACUAAUGUUGAAAAAUUAGCGGAUGACUUGUGGCUGGGGGUGAAAGGCCAAUCAAACCGGGAGAUAGCUGGUUCUCCCCGAAAGCUAUUUAGGUAGCGCCUCGUGAAUUCAUCUCCGGGGGUAGAGCACUGUUUCGGCAAGGGGGUCAUCCCGACUUACCAACCCGAUGCAAACUGCGAAUACCGGAGAAUGUUAUCACGGGAGACACACGGCGGGUGCUAACGUCCGUCGUGAAGAGGGAAACAACCCAGACCGCCAGCUAAGGUCCCAAAGUCAUGGUUAAGUGGGAAACGAUGUGGGAAGGCCCAGACAGCCAGGAUGUUGGCUUAGAAGCAGCCAUCAUUUAAAGAAAGCGUAAUAGCUCACUGGUCGAGUCGGCCUGCGCGGAAGAUGUAACGGGGCUAAACCAUGCACCGAAGCUGCGGCAGCGACGCUGAUGCGUUGUUGGGUAGGGGAGCGUUCUGUAAGCCUGCGAAGGUGUGCUGUGAGGCAUGCUGGAGGUAUCAGAAGUGCGAAUGCUGACAUAAGUAACGAUAAAGCGGGUGAAAAGCCCGCUCGCCGGAAGACCAAGGGUUCCUGUCCAACGUUAAUCGGGGCAGGGUGAGUCGACCCCUAAGGCGAGGCCGAAAGGCGUAGUCGAUGGGAAACAGGUUAAUAUUCCUGUACUUGGUGUUACUGCGAAGGGGGGACGGAGAAGGCUAUGUUGGCCGGGCGACGGUUGUCCCGGUUUAAGCGUGUAGGCUGGUUUUCCAGGCAAAUCCGGAAAAUCAAGGCUGAGGCGUGAUGACGAGGCACUACGGUGCUGAAGCAACAAAUGCCCUGCUUCCAGGAAAAGCCUCUAAGCAUCAGGUAACAUCAAAUCGUACCCCAAACCGACACAGGUGGUCAGGUAGAGAAUACCAAGGCGCUUGAGAGAACUCGGGUGAAGGAACUAGGCAAAAUGGUGCCGUAACUUCGGGAGAAGGCACGCUGAUAUGUAGGUGAAGUCCCUCGCGGAUGGAGCUGAAAUCAGUCGAAGAUACCAGCUGGCUGCAACUGUUUAUUAAAAACACAGCACUGUGCAAACACGAAAGUGGACGUAUACGGUGUGACGCCUGCCCGGUGCCGGAAGGUUAAUUGAUGGGGUUAGCGCAAGCGAAGCUCUUGAUCGAAGCCCCGGUAAACGGCGGCCGUAACUAUAACGGUCCUAAGGUAGCGAAAUUCCUUGUCGGGUAAGUUCCGACCUGCACGAAUGGCGUAAUGAUGGCCAGGCUGUCUCCACCCGAGACUCAGUGAAAUUGAACUCGCUGUGAAGAUGCAGUGUACCCGCGGCAAGACGGAAAGACCCCGUGAACCUUUACUAUAGCUUGACACUGAACAUUGAGCCUUGAUGUGUAGGAUAGGUGGGAGGCUUAGAAGUGUGGACGCCAGUCUGCAUGGAGCCGACCUUGAAAUACCACCCUUUAAUGUUUGAUGUUCUAACGUUGACCCGUAAUCCGGGUUGCGGACAGUGUCUGGUGGGUAGUUUGACUGGGGCGGUCUCCUCCUAAAGAGUAACGGAGGAGCACGAAGGUUGGCUAAUCCUGGUCGGACAUCAGGAGGUUAGUGCAAUGGCAUAAGCCAGCUUGACUGCGAGCGUGACGGCGCGAGCAGGUGCGAAAGCAGGUCAUAGUGAUCCGGUGGUUCUGAAUGGAAGGGCCAUCGCUCAACGGAUAAAAGGUACUCCGGGGAUAACAGGCUGAUACCGCCCAAGAGUUCAUAUCGACGGCGGUGUUUGGCACCUCGAUGUCGGCUCAUCACAUCCUGGGGCUGAAGUAGGUCCCAAGGGUAUGGCUGUUCGCCAUUUAAAGUGGUACGCGAGCUGGGUUUAGAACGUCGUGAGACAGUUCGGUCCCUAUCUGCCGUGGGCGCUGGAGAACUGAGGGGGGCUGCUCCUAGUACGAGAGGACCGGAGUGGACGCAUCACUGGUGUUCGGGUUGUCAUGCCAAUGGCACUGCCCGGUAGCUAAAUGCGGAAGAGAUAAGUGCUGAAAGCAUCUAAGCACGAAACUUGCCCCGAGAUGAGUUCUCCCUGACCCUUUAAGGGUCCUGAAGGAACGUUGAAGACGACGACGUUGAUAGGCCGGGUGUGUAAGCGCAGCGAUGCGUUGAGCUAACCGGUACUAAUGAACCGUGAGGCUUAACCUU
rnacentral:rRNA from 1 species